rnacentral:rRNA from 1 species
GAUGAACGCUGGCGGCGUGCUUAACACAUGCAAGUCGAACGGUGAAGGCGGAGCUUGCUCUGCUGGAUCAGUGGCGAACGGGUGAGUAACACGUGAGCAAUCUGCCCCUGACUCUGGGAUAAGCGCUGGAAACGGCGUCUAAUACUGGAUACGAGCUGCGAAGGCAUCUUCAGCAGCUGGAAAGAAUUUCGGUCAGGGAUGAGCUCGCGGCCUAUCAGCUUGUUGGUGAGGUAAUGGCUCGCCAAGGCGUCGACGGGUAGCCGGCCUGAGAGGGUGACCGGCCACACUGGGACUGAGACACGGCCCAGACUCCUACGGGAGGCAGCAGUGGGGAAUAUUGCACAAUGGGCGAAAGCCUGAUGCAGCAACGCCGCGUGAGGGACGACGGCCUUCGGGUUGUAAACCUCUUUUAGCAGGGAAGAAGCGAAAGUGACGGUACCUGCAGAAAAAGCGCCGGCUAACUACGUG